GCCGUCGUAGCUCAGGCCGGUCAGAGCGCGGUCCUGGUACGACCGAGGUCACCGGUUCGAAUCCGGUCGUCGGCU
rnacentral:tRNA from 1 species